GGUCUAGAAAUAGAGACGUGAAGUCCUGCCUCUUCCGGUUUGCCCCAUGUGACUGUAUCUCUGAAAAAGUACAAGUACAAGGCAAGAGACCCCAUCUAUCCUUCAGUUUAAAAGAUAUAUUUGCAAGUCAAGAGAGUUGCCGAAUGUCAUGAAGACUGCUCAGUGAACUACGUCUUUCGUCUGGCGUCAUAUCAGUCACUAGCAAUGUUUCGCUUUGUUCUUUUAGACGAAGGGCAAUAGUCUUAAGGAAGGUAGUGCCACAAGUAAGACCAUGUUGACGGCUACGUGAACGCGGCAAACCUAUCUGUCUGUAUGAUGUCCACAACAGGUGAACAGUGCACUGGAUUUCUGGAGAAACUUUCGGAUUUGUUUGAGCACCGUCUACCAAACAAAUCAAAGUCCAGCAGCGACUACUUACAAUCAUUAGUUAUAAAGGUGUGGAUGACGGAGACUCACCUUUUUCAACUUGCGAAAUCAUCUUUAAAUUGUCAUACAUGCGUCAUUUAUGGCACCAUUCACGACGACUUUACGUAUUUUUCGUAGGUGGUCCGCUGGAAGAGGCGUGGCUUCACCUCUCCGUAGACGUUUUUGAAAAAAACUGAUUUUUUUUAAAUGUUGGAACAGAAAUAUCUUCCCUACUUUUAGAUAAAUCAACUAUAAUCUCUGAUUGUAGUCUUUUUGCAAGGCUCUUUGUGAAAAUUUAUGAAAUGAGCGUAGAUGUUGUUUGAAGAAAAACCUUCCUUACAAUGUGCCAUAACUUUAAAAUUGUACAUUCAGUGUAGAUGCAUGUGCAGAUGAAAAAAAAAAAAAUCUAGAGGAACACUUUUACAUCUUUUUUGGGAGACCUAUUUCGACGGCUCUUCCUUGUUUGUCUACAAAAAUCACUGGUUAGCGUUGGAUAUAUUCCAUUUAGGAGGAAUUCUGUUGAUUGUAGCUGAGAAGUGAGAGAAACCUUCUCGUUUGCUGACGAACUGAUUGGCGCUGAUUGCGACGCUGGUUGGGUCAAGCAGGAUCCGCUGCUGUUCGGUAGCAUUAAACCCUUUUAUGAUUGUUUGUAGUGGUAAUGUUUCCCCGUUUGUAGUGUUUCUCUAAAUCAGACUUUUAUGAUUAUUUGUCUCGUGCAAUAGAAGGGCUUUAAGGUUGUAGCUGGAGUUCAUGAAGGGAUUUAAUGGAGAGGGGGAUUCGUGAAAGGGGCGUCUUUGGUUGGAAUCAGUGAGCUGGGAGAUGGUCCCCCUUCUACCUGUACAGUGUAUUUGAAUGUUCUUGGUAGAGAAAGGCUUGUAGAAAAAAAAAAACUGUGUUUAACGUGAGAGCUGUCGGGAUCAGGAGGAAAGCCGGUCUGCCUUUCUCAUUCGGCUGACGUCCUUCUCUUCUGAGCACUUUUUAAUGCUUCCAGUCGAUUCCUGUCCGUCCGUCCGUCCGUCUGUUUGUUUGUUGUGGGCGACUUGCACUGUAAUUUGGAUGUUUGUGGUAGAGCCUUUUUCUAGUAAAUUCUCUUUUUUGUAUUUACCCUUAGUGGAGGAAUUGGAAUAGAUUUGCAUCAAUUAAAUCGUUAGGGUCGCGUUCAAACCCUCCCUAACCUUUGUAUCUGUAUUUUUGAUAAUAACUGCCUCUCCGACGUUUCUACUGAAGAUGUAUUUACACUGUAUGCGCUCAUAUUUCUAUUGCUUGGGCUUUUUUUUUUUUCUUUCUUUCUGUGGUUCUUUUUUCUUUCUUUCUUUCUUUCUCGGUUUAACACGCACAAUAAGCGACAAACAAACAGCCUUCAGUCCUCAAACCAUCCAUAGCUGUGUGCUUUGCUUGGCUUGGCCCCUGGCAUGCACGACAACCACGAAACAAAGGUAACCCGCUGUUAUCUUUCACUUUCUUCAGAAGCCGUUUUCUUACCUUGUUCCAGUGAUGUUUACCGAAAAGGCUUCACAUCCCCGUCUCUGUCAUUGGCUGGCUGGCUGGCUGCUCGCUGCAAUGCACAUGUGUUUUAUCUGCAGUUUGAACAAGCUUAACCCUCUGAACCCCAAGACGUUUCUGGGCGUUUUUCUACUGGAAUAAAGUGGCCCGAGAUAUUUUACUACUUCCAUUUUUACAACCUCUACAAACUAGGCCUUUUUCGUACAACUCUGGAAAAUAUUUUGCAGAGUUGUAUCCUCUGACAGCUUGCUGAGUACCUGUUCCUCCGUUUUUGAGCCAUGCUGCAUUUAUUUUAUUGCUCAAAUGUUUUUAAUUUUGCCCUUAGUCGCUCUAAUUUGUUUCCUCCUAUCUGCUUUAAAUGCGCCAAAGAGGUGCAAGCAUUUUAUUUCUGGCAAAUUCUUUUAACAAGACAUGUAGAACAGAGUGAUUUUGCCAUUGAUGCAUUUUCUGACAGGUUCAAAGACCGUCAGAAAUGUGAAAAUCUGACGGUUCUUUAAGUUUUUCAGGUUUGGGGGGUUCAGAGGGUUAAGAGGAUGAAACUGGUGGGUUCUUCUGUUGCACUUCAGUAUGGUACUGCUUGGAAAAAAAAUGUCUUUACGUCCCAAAAACAAACUCAAGAAAAGCAGAAUUCAUAAUAAAAAAAAGAAUACUCAAAAUGAUUUUGCUUUUGGGGAUAAAAGGCAUAUUAUUUUUUUUCCUUACCUUCCCACUAGCAGGACGAAUUCUAAGGUUACUGAUACUUUUGCUUCCUUCGUCUAAAUGAAUAAAUAAGCACCAAAACGUCACUUUACAUCGUGCAUAUUGAGAGGGGCUUUCUGAAACAUUAAUGUCAGGGGUUCAAGCUCCAAGGUGACUUAACUGGGACUAUAUAUCAUCAAGAUUUUAUCGCUUUCCAAACGAGCUUCUCUUUCCUCAGAGCUACUGCUUCUUCCUGAAACCAAUGUUCACGCUUCUUCACGCUUUGUAAAUGCACUGUGUGUGUUUUUCAGCAUGUUUUUUUUGGUCGGCUGGGGAGAAAACGAGCGCUGCUCUGGCGCCGUUUCUCACCGUUUUCCUUUUCUCCACUGUGAAUGCAUGUUAACCAGGCUAAAGAAUUCCCUGCUUUUCUGUCAUUCGGCUCUGUUGUUGCUCACUUUGUCACUCGGUGUUCCUGUCGUGGGGCUCUAAAUGGUUCCAGAUGUUUGAGACGUAGCUGGUGCAGUUAACCCAACAACAAAGUGUAUCUUUACAGUUUUUUCUGACACAAACUUGUUGGAUUUAACAAUUUAAUGCCUUUUUUUGUUGUCACUGCACCCUCAUGAUUAAUUAACUGCACCGUGUCUUUUUCAAAUAUUUAAGAACCAUUUGUGUUUUCCGCCCCGGGCUUCCUUUCCUCAAGGAACAAACAAGGCCGACUCAACUCCAGCGCUCAGAGAGAGCGAGAAGGCGAAAGUAGACAAGACACAAGUAAAGUUAAGCGUAAUGCAUAAUGUAAGUGCAGAAAAAAAAAAAAGAUAUCUUCGAGAGUCGAGGCGUUUUAUUUUGUACGGCGUGAAAGUUUGAGCAUUGUCAGAAGUUGGACACACACACAAACAUGAAUGCUGGAGUCGAGUCCACCUUGUCUUUCUGUCACCAAGCAGCACUUGCAGUCAGUCACUUCCACUGUUUUGUAAUUUUAAUGUGCUGUACAUACAGUAACAGACUGCUAGAUUGUGAUUUUAUGUUGUAAUUUGUAUGUUUAUGGCGUUAAUCAGAGCCGAAUUUGCUAGAUUUACUUUAAAAUGAAAAGUCAAAUCAGUUUUUCUGCGAUAUACGCGCUGUGGUGGUGGAUAAUCUUGAUAUGUUCAUACUGGGUUGGGAAAAUGCACUUUUUUGACUUUUUGUUGAGAGUUGGAUGACGAGAUUGAUGCUACUUUCAUAUCUAUGUGAGGAACAGGAAGCUACAGCUAGCAGCUAAUUAGCUUAGCUUAGCAGGAAGCUUGGAAACAGGGGAAACAGCGAGCCUAGCUAUGCCAAACACAACAAAAUCAACCUGUUUGCACCACAUGAGCGUAUUAUUUUACUUAUUUGUAUGAAAUGUGGAUUGCAAAAGCAACAGGUUGUGGUUUUAAUAAGAUUUUGUGACCUUGGUUGUCAUUUGUUAACUUUGGGCAGAGCCAGGCUAGCUGUUCCCGGUCUUAAUGCUAAGCUAAGCUAACUGACUUCAUGUUUGGCAAACAGAUAUGAAAGUUAGACAAGAAUAUUGAUACGAUUUUUAUAUCUUUGUGCUAAAUACGAAGCUACAGCUAGCAGCGACUUAGCUUAGCUUUGCAAAAAGACGAGGAACAGGGGGCUAGGCUUGGUCUGUCUAGAGGCAACAAAAUCCACCUGUUAGCAACUUGAAAGCCCAUUAUUUUACUCCUUAUGUUGUAUUUGUUUAGUCUAUACGCCUUUUGUUAGCUUUGGACGGAGUCAGGCUAGCUAGGUGUUUGUGGUCUUAAUGCUAAGCUAAGCUAACUAGCAGCAUAUUCAGCAUACAGACAUAAAAGUGGUAUCAAUCUGCUCAUCUAACUCUCAGCAAGAAAACAAACCAGCAUAUUUCCCAGUUUGUGAAACCAUUUUCUUAAAUUUAGCUGAUUUAAAUGGUAUUUUAGCAUCACACCUGUGCUUCUCUUCCUGUUUACAUCACACACUUUGACAGACUGACUUCUUUAAAAGGAAUAAACCAGCUUUCUGGCUGUUCUUCUAAAACAUGGAGAUUGGUGGCGGUUUCAGUUUGCAUGUCAUGUAUUUACUUGACUGUCUCUUAUGGUGCAUGUCGAGGCUGUGAAACUCUAAUAAACGCUGAGCAUGCAGAGGUCGCACUGCUACCAAUCUAGCGGAAGAACUGCCAGGAAGUCUUUCCAAAAACGACAUUCAAACGUUUCCCUUAACGCACACUGACCACGAAGUCGAAAGCUGCACUGACUCACUGGUUUUCUCUCGCUCUUGUAACACUUUGUAUUCCUGCACAUCUGUCCUUCUUCUUUUUUUAAUUAUUAUUUUAUUAUUUUCACCUUCAAACAUCUACUGGAUUUUGUUUUUCUUUACUCUUCAUCUCUUUAACACUGUAACUGAUUGUGUGCACUAGUGUCAAUAAAGAACGACUUUGUAUGUCCGAA